rnacentral:rRNA from 1 species
GAUCCUGGCUCAGGACGAACGCUGGCGGCGUGCUUAACACAUGCAAGUCGAACGAUGAAAGAGAAUCCGAUCUCUUCGGAGAGAAGAAUCUCUGGAUUAGUGGCGGACGGGUGAGUAACGCGUGAGCAAUCUGCCUUACACAAAGGGAUAGCCUCGGGAAACCGGGAUUAAUACCAUAUGAUAUCUAUUCACCGCAUGGUUUAUAGAUUAAAGAAUUUCGGUGUAAG